GAAUGGAUGAGUCAAUCCGCUUUCUAGUUUGAGCACAGCAAGCCUUUUUACUUCUUUUUUUUCCUACCUAAGCUGAUGGUCUAGGGAGACCAUAAUAUCAGCGUAACCUUAACAAGUAGGUGAGCUCACGGGGCUCAAAUCUGACGACGUUGCUAACACGAACCCCAGCAAGAGCCGUGCUUCGCAGAAUUCCUGCCGUGAAGCAAUAAUGUGUUUCGGUCUGAAGGAAAAAAUCGAAUGCAGGAGAAACUGUGCCUUAUUCAGCUAUAGUGUGGAUGCAGUUCCGAAAAAAAUAGAUGGGUUCAUUUGACCAGGAAACAUUCUAACAAGUCAGUUUUAUUAGAAACAAACGAAGAGCAUGUUCGAUGUCCGCGACGAAACCUAUUGGAGAAACUCGAAAACCCAUUUCAGGACUGAAAUACAACGACUUACAAAAAUCGUUGCAGUGGAUUCCAUCUGUUUCAUGAAUAUUAAAAUAAUCUUCCAUGAGCGGAAGUUCCUGACUUGCCUGAAGGCUGCGAGUGAGCUAUUAGUCUCCUAUAAAUAAUCAGAUAAAUAAAUAUUUCAAUUUCUUA